GGGGGCCCCCCGCCACUGGAUGCCGCGCGCAUCCGGGAAGGCGAAGCGGCGUGUUCGUCAGCCCGGAUACCGGCCUAAACGAAGGGGUUCAGC
rnacentral:ncRNA from 20 species